GAGUUUGAUCCUGGCUCAGAUUGAACGCUGGCGGCAUGCCUUACACAUGCAAGUCGAACGGCAGCACGGGAGCUUGCUCCUGGUGGCGAGUGGCGAACGGGUGAGUAAUGCAUCGGAACGUAUCCUGGAGUGGGGGAUAACGUAGCGAAAGUUACGCUAAUACCGCAUAUUCUGUGAGCAGGAAAGCGGGGGACCUUCGGGCCUCGCGCUCUUGGAGCGGCCGAUGUCGGAUUAGCUAGUUGGUGAGGUAAAGGCUCACCAAGGCGACGAUCCGUAGCAGGUCUGAGAGGAUGAUCUGCCACACUGGAACUGAGACACGGUCCAGACUCCUACGGGAGGCAGCAGGUGGGUAAUUUUGGACAAGUGGGGGCAACCCUGAUCCAGCCAUGCCGCGUGAGUGAAGAAGGCC
rnacentral:rRNA from 1 species